GGAAGUCUGGACGCUCGGCUGCUGCCGCCCCUGAGCUGUGGCUCUGUGUGUCCAGAUCAGCU
ensembl:miRNA Mir7029 microRNA 7029